rnacentral:lncRNA from 1 species
CCAUUCUCAUCUUGCGCGCGUUCACUGCUGCCUUCUUCGUUGAUUCAUUUGGCGGCCUGCUAGCUAGCUAUCUUGCUUAAAGGUUCGCUAACGGAAUAGUGGUCUUGUAGUUGACGUUAUUUAGACGUGCAUCAACUAGUUUGAAUUGCUUGGCGCGAUUUUAGUAUGGAAGUUGCUAGGAGCAGUUCUUUAGCUCGUGUUAGAUUUACAACCUUUCGCUAGCAACCUGAAAAGUAACAUUUUUUAAGCAGUGUGUUGUCGUAGAAGCUGUCUUCAUUUUAGGAAUCCUCCUUUUGUUAAUGCAAUCAUGUAAUGUAGAAAUUUUUGUUUCGUGAAAGCUGAUUGUGGUUACCAGGGAGGAAAAUACAAGUUCUCCUCAUUUUAGGAAGCCUCCUUUGGUUAAUGCAACCAUGCAACCUAGAAAUCGUUAGAAGAGACCAAAUCCCUCUUGUUUGUGAAAGCUGAUUACGGUUACUGGGGGAGGAAAAUAGACUUUUAAAAGGACAGAAAUGCUCUCCACGCUAUCUAUGUGCUUCAUGAAGAGGGCUGCCCUGGUGCCUGCACUGAUGUAGUGCCAUAUUUCUGUAGAUUAGGAUAACUUAAAAACUAUACCGUACCAGUGUAGCAAAUGCUGAUGACUUCAGGCCACGUUCGCCACUUGGUGAUUUAAAAAUGUGAUAUACUGUGGACACCUGCCAAAAAAAGUUUUUGGGCUGUGGAUUGAGUCUUGUAUAUGACCUCUAGCACCAAGCAUAAGUAGAUAUCCAGUAAAAAUGAUGCGCACAGAUUUCUGGUUCAUUAGAUCUCUAUAUUUGAGUCAUCUAGCAUAGCCAUUGCUGUUGAUGAAAGUGCUAAUCUUGCCAAUACUGUUUUCUGUAGCCAAGCUGGCGCAGGCCCAAGGGUAUCGACUCCCGUGUCAGGCGGAAGUUCAAGGGAUGCACCUUGAUGCCCAACAUUGGAUAUGGCUCUGACAAGAAGACCAGGCACUACCUGCCCAACAAGUUCAAGAAGUUUGUGGUGCACAAUGUCUCUGAGCUAGAGCUGCUUAUGAUGCACAACAGGUAUGCAAUUUUUUUCAGUCUUCAGCAAACGUGUCGAGAGUACAGCAGUUUCCCAGUUUCAGUGCACCCUUUUUAUCACGAUCAUCAAUUAUUUGCUAAUAUUUGUUUCGCUACACGAACAGGACAUACUGUGCUGAAAUCGCACACAACGUGUCCACAAAGAAGCGCAAGGAGAUUGUGGAGCGGGCUGCUCAGCUUGACAUUGUCGUCACCAACAAGCUUGCCCGUCUUCGCAGUCAGGAGGAUGAGUAAACUGUUUCGGGUAGUAGUUUUGGAGUGGCUCGGCUGUAGGAGACUUUCUGUGCAUCAUGAAUCAGUUAUCCUUUCUGUUUGCUUCGUGUUUUGAGUAUCGUGAACCCACUUGCUAUCAGUGGCGACUUAACUGUGGCAAUGUUAUGAUUAUCACCUACCAUAUGAAUACAGCAGUUUUGAUAUCAAUUAUUGUUGGAUUGUUCAUGUCUAUUUAUUCUGUUGGCGCCCAGCUGCCAGGGACCGCAGCCUGUUUUUGCGUCUGCUAAAUUUUGCUGCCAAUGAUGCUCAGGUUCCUACUGCAUCUUGCAUCGUGCAAACUGGAAAUCGGUGUCUGAGAAAUCUAGUUGAUUCUGGACAUAUGUUUGUGUUUUGGCAAGUAGAAUAUGAACCUGUAUGCUACUUGAUCUGAGACUGAGCUUUGCUGCUGAAAUAUUAGAACCGACGCCUAUGUUGCUGUACGUGGACCGGAGAAGCCCACGUCAGAGCAACACAACAAAAGCCGAUGGCGAGCCGACGACGGCCUGCAAUCCCCUCCUCACUCAACGGAGGAUCGCAAUAUCUUACGGCCCACCUUAGAAUCAGUCGCGGAUCACGCGAAGGAAGGGCCGCCUAGGGUGGAAGCGGCCCAGAAGGUCCGAGCCCACCACACCUAGGGUUCUCUCGGAGCAAUAAGACCCUCUCCUCUCCUCACACCCGCCGCCCGCCGCCGCUCUCGCUCGCACCGUCGCAUCUCCGCAGGGUUCGCAAAGGUACCUCCUCCAACCUCGUCUCGUCGUGGCACCGACCACGGCGCUCUCGAAUCCUUCGCUCUCGUGCCGGAUUCGUGGCUGCAGUUACCCAGCUGGUGUCUAAUUGCCCGUGUGACCUCGUGCUCCUGCAGAUGGCGGUGCCGCUGCUGACGCAGAAGAUCGUGAAGAAGCGGGUCAAGCAAUUCAAGAGGCCCCACCUCGACCGCUACAAGUGCCUCAAGGUACACGCUGCGCCCAUUCCCUUGUUGCGCGAAGCGCUUGAUCACCGAGCAUCUGCUGCACCCUUCGUUAAUCCACUGGCCGCCUUCGAACUAGCUUGCUUUAGGUUCACCACUGGAAGAGUGGUCAUGUUGUUCACGUUGUUUAGAAGUGUAUAUUCUAAUUUGAAUUGCUUGGCCAGAUUUUUGUAUGGAAGUUGCUAGUACCAGACUACCAGUUCGUUAGCUUGCGUUACAGUUACAAUCUUUCACUAGCAAUCUAAAUUGUAAACUUGGUUUUUGAAGCAGUGUAUUACCAUGGAAGCUUUCCUCAUUUUAGGAGCCCUCCUUUGGUUAAUGCAAUCUAGAAGUUGUUAACAGAGACCAGGUCCCUUUGUUUGUGUAAGUUUAUUAGCUUACACUGAUGUAAUGCCAUGUUUCUGUACCUUAGCAUAACUUAAAACUAUACUGUACCAGUGUAGCAAAUGCCCAUUACUUCAGACAACGUUUACCACUUGGUGAACCCAAAAUAUGCUAUACUGUGCCUGAAACCUGCUAGUUUUAUUUUCAUUUUUCUGAGCAGUAACGGCUCUAGCGCCAAGCAUGGGUAAGAUAUCCUGUAAAAAGAUGUACAAAUUUCCGGUUCAUUGAGUCUCUACAUUUGCGUCACCUAGCAUAGCCAUUGCUUUUGGUUUAGUUGAAAGAGCUAAUUUUUCCCAUACUGUUUUCUGUAGCCAAGCUGGCGCAGGCCCAAGGGUAUUGACUCCCGCGUCAGGCGGAAGUUCAAGGGAUGCACCUUGAUGCCCAACAUCGGAUACGGCUCGGACAAGAAGACCAGGCACUACCUCCCCAACAAGUUCAAGAAGUUUGUUGUUCACAAUGUCUCUGAGCUGGAGCUGCUUAUGAUGCACAACAGGUAAUCUUUUUUCUGUGUACCUAUUGAAAGUUCUUUGAUGGUGCCACACAUCCUGCGAUUUUACUUCAUAAUCAUACCAGAAAGCUAAGCUACAACAUAGCUUACCUCCGGAACAGAAUGGCAGUGUUCCCUCCUAGUAGGGUGGGUAGUCUAGCAGAUAUGGCACAGUUCCCGUCAUAAUAGCAAUGUGCCAGUGAGAAUGCCAUUCCAGUUACCCUAAUAUAUAUGUCUCCGACUUUAUGUGACCCAUGAAUAUUACUCCUCAAAUCUUCUGUUCAUAUGCUUUACUUCUGUUUGAUCUUUCAAAUGCUCUCUUUGCUUACAUCCUUUUCUCCCUGCAAAACAGGACCUACUGCGCUGAGAUUGCACACAACGUCUCCACCCGCAAGCGUAAGGAGAUUGUUGAGCGCGCCGCGCAGCUGGACAUUGUGGUCACCAACAGGCUGGCCAGGAUCCGCAGCCAGGAGGAUGAGUGAAAUGUUCAGUAGCUGCAGUUGCGUUGUUCGUAGAACAGUACUGAGAUUGGAGAUACUUUUCCACCAUUUUUAUGCUCGUGUUAGACUUG